GACGAACGCUGGCGGCGUGCUUAACACAUGCAAGUCGAACGGAAGGGCCCUGCUUUUGUGGGGUGCUCGAGUGGCGAACGGGUGAGUAACACGUGAGUAACCUGCCCUUGACUUUGGGAUAACUUCAGGAAACUGGGGCUAAUACCGGAUAGGAGCUCCUGCUGCAUGGUGGGGGUUGGAAAGUUUCGGCGGUUGGGGAUGGACUCGCGGCUUAUCAGCUUGUUGGUGGGGUAGUGGCUUACCAAGGCUUUGACGGGUAGCCGGCCUGAGAGGGUGACCGGCCACAUUGGGACUGAGAUACGGCCCUGACUCCUACGGGAGGCAGCAGUGGGGAAUAUUGCACAAUGGGCGGAAGCCUGAUGCAGCAACGCCGCGUGCGGGAUGACGGCCUUCGGGUUGUAAACCGCUUUCGCCUGUGACGAAGCGUGGGUGACGGUAAUGGGUAAAGAAGCACCGGCUAACUACGUG
rnacentral:rRNA from 1 species